rnacentral:tRNA from 1 species
GCGGAUGUGGCGGAAUUGGCAGACGCGCAUGGUUCAGGUCCAUGUUCUCGCAAGGGAGUGGAGGUUCAAGUCCUCUUAUCCGCACCA